rnacentral:rRNA from 1 species
AUUGAACGCUGGCGGCAGGCCUAACACAUGCAAGUCGAGCGAGUGGCGGACGGGUUAGUAAUGUAUGGGAAUCUGCCUGAUGGAGGGGGAUCACUACUGGAAACGGUUGCUACUACCGCAUUCCAUCGGAUGUGCCCAUAUGGGAUUAGCUAGUUGGUGGGGUAACGGCUCACCAGGGCGACGAUCCCUAGCUGGUCUGAGAGGAUGACCAGCCACACUGGAACGGAGACACGGUCCAGACUCCUACGGGAGGAAGGAGGGGGGAAUAUUGCACAAUGGGCGCAAGCCUGAUGCAGCCAUGCCGCGUGUGUGAAGAAGGCCUUCGGGUUGUAAAGUACUUUAAGCGGGGAGGCGUUACUCGCAGAAGAAGCACCGGCUAACUCCGUGCCAGCAGCCGCGGUAAUUC